rnacentral:SRP_RNA from 1 species
CGGGUCCUAUGCAACGGAGUGUCGGUGAAGUCCGCCAGGCCCGGAAGGGAGCAACGGUAACCAGAAACUCUGUGUGCCGUAGGGUGCCUGGCCU